rnacentral:rRNA from 1 species
UGACGCGUGAGGCUGAGAAAGCGUGGGGAGCAACCAGGAUUAGAUACCCUGGUAGUCCACGCCGUAAAUGAUUGAGUGCUAGGUGGUUAGGCCCUUUCCUGGGGCAUUAGUGCCGCUAGCUAACGCAUUAAGCACUCCGCCUGGGGAGUACGACCGCAAGGUAGAAACUCAAAGGAAUUGACGGGGGCCCGCACAAGCUGGUGGAGCAUGUGGUUUAAUUCGAAGCAACGCGAAGAACCUUACCAGGUCUUGACAUCCCAGGACCGCUCUAGAGAUAGAGUUCACAUCGGAACACUG